GAGAGGAGCGAGCAAGGUAGCUCAUACAAAUUGCAAAUUUGUAACAAAAGGGUUCGAUUCCCUCUCCUCUCU
rnacentral:tRNA from 1 species